AACGUAGGUUCCGAGCGUUAUCCGGAUUUACUGGGCGUAAAGCGCGUUCAGGCGGUUUGGCAAGUCGGGCAUGAAAUCUCUCGGCUCAACCGGGAGAGGUUGUCCGAUACUUCCAGACUUGAGGGCAGUAGAGGGUGGUGGAAUUCCGGGUGUAGUGGCGAAAUGCGUAGAUAUCCGGAGGAACACCAGUGGCGAAAGCGGCCACCUGGACUGCACCUGACGCUGACACGCGAAAGCUAGGGGAGCGAACGGG
rnacentral:rRNA from 1 species